CCCCGACCCGCAUGUCUAUUUAGAUGAAUGCUUUAAAAAUUCAUGCAAUACUAAUCAUCGAACACCCCGAAGAUUCUGAAAAACACUUAUCCAUCAUUACAAUAGUCAAAAACCUUCCCUAAAUGCUCUAAAAUGAUGACAUAUGCACUCCACUUAAUGAGAACCUCAUACAAGACAAACGAUCCAAACUCAUCAUGUAAGAGAUGGCCUACUGGUUAUACUUAAAUAGACACCUUGCCAUGAACUCACCUUAAUUACAAUAGCCUGGCCACCAGCCAAUUAUACCAAAUAUAUUCU
rnacentral:lncRNA from 1 species